rnacentral:rRNA from 1 species
AGCUGACGAGUGGCGCACGGGUGCGUAACGCGUAUGCAACCUACCCAUUACAGGGGGAUAGCCCGGGGAAACUCGGAUUAAUACCCCAUAGUAUUACAGAUUGGCAUCAUGAAGUAAUUAAAGAUUUAUUGGUAAUGGAUGGGCAUGCGUCUGAUUAGUUAGUUGGAGAGGUAACGGCUCACCAAGACGAUGAUCAGUAGGGGUUCUGAGAGGAUGAUCCCCCACACUGGUACUGAGAUACGGACCAGACUCCUACGGGAGGCAGCAGUAGGGAAUAUUGGUCAAUGGGCGAGAGCCUGAACCAGCCAUGCCGCGUGCAGGAUGACGGCCUUCUGGGUUGUAAACUGCUUUUAUAUAGGAAGAAAUAGUUCAUGCGUGAACAGUUGACGGUACUAUAUGAAUAAGCACCGGCUAACUCCGUGCCAGCAGCCGCGGUAAUACGGAGGGUGCAAGCGUUGUCCGGAUUUAUUGGGUUUAAAGGGUGCGUAGGCGGAUCUUUAAGUCUGUGGUGAAAGCCCAUCGCUCAACGAUGGAACUGCCAUGGAUACUGAGGAUCUUGAAUUCAGUUGAGGUAGGCGGAAUUGAUGGUGUAGCGGUGAAAUGCAUAGAUACCAUCAGGAACACCGAUUGCGAAGGCAGCUUACUGGACUUGAAUUGACGCUGAUGCACGAAAGCGUGGGGAGCGAACAGGAUUAGAUACCCUGGUAGUCCACGCCGUAAACGAUGAUUACUCGCUGUUAGCGAUACACAGUUAGCGGCCAAGCGAAAGCGUUAAGUAAUCCACCUGGGGAGUACGCUCGCAAGAGUGAAACUCAAAGGAAUUGA